AGAGUUUGAUCCUGGCUCAGAUUGAACGCUGGCGGCAUGCCUUACACAUGCAAGUCGAACGGCAGCACGGGGGGUAACCCCUGGUGGCGAGUGGCGAACGGGUGAGUAAUAUAUCGGAACGUGUCCUGUAGCGGGGGAUAACCUAUCGAAAGAUGGACUAAUACCGCAUACGACCUAUGGGUGAAAGCGGAGGACCGCAAGGCUUCGCACUAUAGGAGCGGCCGAUAUCGGAUUAGCUAGUUGGUGGGGUAAAAGCCUACCAAGGCGACGAUCCGUAGCUGGUCUGAGAGGACGAUCAGCCACACUGGAACUGAGACACGGUCCAGACUCCUACGGGAGGCAGCAGUGGGGAAUUUUGGACAAUGGGCGCAAGCCUGAUCCAGCCAUGCCGCGUGAGUGAAGAAGGCCUUCGGGUUGUAAAGCUCUUUCGGCGGGGACGAAACGGUUCGUGCUAAUACCACGGACUAAUGACGGUACCCGCAUAAGAAGCACCGGCUAACUACGUGCCAGCAGCCGCGGUAAUACGUAGGGUGCAGGCGUUAAUCGGAAUUACUGGGCGUAAAGCGUGCGCAGGCGGUUUGUUAAGACAGGUGUGAAAUCCCCGGGCUUAACCUGGGAAUUGCGCUUGUUACUGGCAGACUUGAGUGUGGCAGAGGGGGGUGGAAUUCCAAGUGUAGCAGUGAAAUGCGUAGAUAUUUGGAGGAACACCGAUGGCGAAGGCAGCCCCCUGGGCUAACACUGACGCUCAUGCACGAAAGCGUGGGGAGCAAACAGGAUUAGAUACCCUGGUAGUCC
rnacentral:rRNA from 1 species